rnacentral:rRNA from 1 species
AUUGAACGCUGGUGGCAGGCCUAACACAUGCAAGUCGAGCGGAUGACGGGAGCUUGCUCCUUGAUUCAGCGGCGGACGGGUGAGUAAUGCCUAGGAAUCUGCCUGGUAGUGGGGGACAACGUUUCGAAAGGAACGCUAAUACCGCAUACGUCCUACGGGAGAAAGCAGGGGACCUUCGGGCCUUGCGCUAUCAGAUGAGCCUAGGUCGGAUUAGCUAGUUGGUGGGGUAAUGGCUCACCAAGGCGACGAUCCGUAACUGGUCUGAGAGGAUGAUCAGUCACACUGGAACGGAGACACGGUCCAGACUCCUACGGGAGGCAGCAGUGGGGGAUAUUGGCCAAUGGGCGAAAGCCUGAUCCAGCCAUGCCGCGUGUGUGAAGAAGGUCUUCGGAUUGUAAAGCACUUUCAGUUGGGAGGAAGGGCAGUAAGUUAAUACCUUGCUGUUUUGACGUUACCGACAGAAUAAGCACCGGCUAACUCUGUGCCAGCAGCCGCCGUAAGAC